rnacentral:misc_RNA from 1 species
GAUGAAGAACGUAGCGAAAUGCGAUAAGUAAUGUGAAUUGCAGAAUUCAGUGAAUCAUCGAAUCUUUGAACGCACAUUGCGCCCAUUAGCAUUCUAGUGGGCAUGCCUGUUCGAGCGUCAUUUCAACCCUUAAGCCCUGUUGCUUAGCGUUGGGAGCCUACAGUACUGUAGCUCCCCAAAGUUAGUGGCGGAGUCGGUUUCACACUCUAGACGUAGUAAAUUUUUCUCGUCUGUAGUUGAGCCGGUCCCCUGCCGUAAAACACCCAAUUUAUCAAGGUUGACCUCGGAUCAGGUAGGAAUACCCGCUGAACUUAAGCAUAUCAAUAAGCGGAGGA